rnacentral:tRNA from 1 species
ACCGCUCCCCCAGGUCCCGUCCGACCCGGCGCCCCUCGGCGUCGAAGAGGUGCGCGGACAUCUCGGCGGCGACA